rnacentral:rRNA from 1 species
AGUGAACGCUGGCGGUAGGCCUAACACAUGCAAGUCGAACGGCAGCACAGGAGAGCUUGCUCUCUGGGUGGCGAGUGGCGGACGGGUGAGGAAUACAUCGGAAUCUGCCCAGUCGUGGGGGAUAACGUAGGGAAACUUACGCUAAUACCGCAUACGACCUUCGGGUGAAAGAGGGGGAUCGCAAGACCUCUCGCGAUUGGAUGAGCCGAUGUCGGAUUAGCUAGUUGGCGGGGUAAUGGCCCACCAAGGCGACGAUCCGUAGCUGGUCUGAGAGGAUGAUCAGCCACACUGGAACUGAGACACGGUCCAGACUCCUACGGGAGGCAGCAGUGGGGAAUAUUGGACAAUGGGCGCAAGCCUGAUCCAGCCAUACCGCGUGGGUGAAGAAGGCCUUCGGGUUGUAAAGCCCUUUUGUUGGGAAAGAAAUCUUCCAGGCUAAUACCCUGGGAGGAUGACGGUACCCAAAGAAUAAGCACCGGCUAACUUCGUG